rnacentral:ncRNA from 1 species
AUAUGGACAAAGACGAAACCGAAGUAGAAACAAUCUCCCUGUUUCAGAGAGCACGUGGCGCUGCGAACGUGUACACAGAUUGAAUCGAAUUACAGUUUCCGAGUCUCUUGCCACGCAAGCGGAGAAAACCGUUAUCCCGUAAUGAAGCGAUCUAUGUCUACGUAGAUUAUCAGGGUGGUACCGCGGCCUUUUGUCGUCCCUGUC